rnacentral:misc_RNA from 1 species
GACGCAUUCACACGCAGAAGAGACCAAUGCACACGCCGAAGAGGCAUGGAAGAAGUCACUCGAAGCCUUCAAGGAGGAGGCGCUCAAGCUGAAAGAGAAAUCACACGAAGCGUACAACGUUUACUCCGAGAAAGCUAUGGUGGCGCUUCUAGAGGCGUCGGAGAAGCUCAAGAUCGAGACGGAGAAAGCGAGGCGGGAUUUGGGGAAGCUGUCGAAGGAACUUAGCGAGGAGGGGAAGGUGUAUCUUGAUGCGGCGGCGAAGAAUUCGCCGGAUGAGGUGAAGGAUAUCGUCGAGACUUUUGCGUCGGUGGAUGACUUGAAGCAUGUUUCGGUGGUUCGGGAUUUUUAUGUUGGGAUUCCUUAUGGUGGUUUGCUUGUUCUUGGAGGGUUUCUUUCGUUUAUGGUGACGGGAAGCACAUCGGGCAUCCGAUUUGGCGUUAUUCUCGGAGGUGCGAUUUUGGCUUUGGGUGUAUUGAGCUUGAGAUCGUGGAAGAGGGGGGAACAUUCGCCCCUCCUUUUGAAAGGGCAAAC